UACGUAGGGGGCUAGCGUUGUCCGGAAUCAUUGGGCGUAAAGCGCGUGUAGGCGGCCCGAUAAGUCCGCUGUGAAAGUCCAGGGCUCAACCCUGGGAUGCCGGUGGAUACUGUCGGGCUCGAGUCCGGAAGAGGCGAGUGGAAUUCCUGGUGUAGUGGUGAAAUGCGUAGAGAUCCGGAGGAACACCAGUGGCGAAGGCGACACGCUGGGCCGUACCUGACACUAAAACGCGACAGCAUGGGGAGCGAACGGG
rnacentral:rRNA from 1 species